AGGAAAUGUAUGCACAAGGAAUUGUGAACUUGUUCCCCAACCUCAAAGACCCAUUUUUCAAGAAUGGCUAUGAACAUUUUUAUGAUAGCAACAGUGGUACUGGGUACUUGUCCUGGAGAAUUAAAACUAUUCAGAGAUGCAGUGCUAAAGAAAGGCGAUCAUCAUUUGGAGCUUUGGCGGAAGGACCAUCUGAUGAAGACAAGUCGGGAGGACCAACUGUUGGACGAGUUACCCAAUUCAUUCCAGAGAUUGUCCUGUCUGAAGAUGAGUGCAAGGAAGCGAUGUCACUGAUGAAACAUUCGGCUGACGUGGACAUGGUCAUCAAAGAGAUGAAGCUGACAUUUGCUCAUCGGCAUAACAUGGUCCUGGACCCACAGCAGUCAAGCAACAUUCUAUCUUAUUUUCCUCGUUUUAAAGACAUCAAAGGCUUGGUUGAACAGGAUUUUGUUCUAUUGUUUGGAGAGGAUGUAUCGGGCAAGUUUCUGGAGAAGUAGCCAAUCACAUUCAAAAAGAAGAUCAUCCAACAAUGCAGAAAGCUUCCCUCCAUCACUGAGCUUGAGAAACUCCUGAUGGCAGCUGACCCUCCUGAGGAUGGGGCUGAAGUGAACGUUGACUUUGGUUGGAACAGUGACCUCUCAUCGAUUUUGCUGCUCUUACACUUGAUCCCACCGACUGUUCUAGGUCGGAAGAGGCCAGGAAAAGUUUCUGCAUCCCGGGAUGAGAAGCAUCUUGUGGUCUUCAAGAAGACUGGAACAAGCAUCCAAGAACAUCUUGACACCAUUACUACCAGCACUCAACCCUAUCUCCUGGCUGUUGGAGUUCAUAAUUCUCGACAAGAAUGCCAUACCUUGCAGGUCACACUCCUCUCUUGGUGCUUUUGAUGAACUGUUUAAAGCACACUUUGUGUUUGCAACAUCAUACCACACCAUGCUCCACAACAUGUACACGAUCAUCCAGACUACUUUGUACAACAUUGAUGUUGGGAAGGUCAAAGAGAGUCCUUGUGUUGCUGAAAUUAGGACAAGGUUGCUUCUGUAGUGUUUGACUUUUGUCUUCCACCAUUAAGUGUUUUGUUUGUCAGGCUGAGUUCCCGAGUUCAAACAUGCUUGUUCGACAUUUACGUUUAGUUCACGGUUACCUGCCUGGAAAAAAUAUUAACCUUAAAUGCGUUCAAACUGGAUGUGGUGGUGUGUUUGGUACUUUCUCUGGUUUUAGGAAGCAUUUGAAAACAAAACACUCAGUGUACUGAACUACAGAUUGGCACCUAUGUUCACUUAAACAGGACAGAAGAGACAGUGUCAGUUAAUGUAGAUGAGUCAGCCACAACAUCUGAACAGUCGAGACAGGCUAAUAGGAGCAGUCUUGAUAUGUGUACCACUGCUGUUGCACAAUUUAAGGUAGCUGGAUUAAGUCAGUCUACUAUGAAUGGUUUUGUCUCAUCCAUGGAGGAAGUGUACAGAGUACCGCUGUGACUUUCAUUGUCUGUUCAGAUGUGGCAUUUGACAUGCCUGUGUUUUGUAAGAUAAAAAAUAUUAUUGUCAAAGCUGAUGAUGUAUUGCUCUGUGGGAAACUGAUGGAAACUGUGUUUUGAGGAGCAUUACCAUGCCUAUAAGGUCAGGUUGCAUCCAGACAAAGUUGUUAAGGUUUUGGACAUAAAGAAACUGCCUUACUCCAAACCAAUUGAUGUUCAAAUGGCAUAUGGAACAUCAUGUUCCACAUUGUAUGUUGUCCCAUAUUGCCAUUUCAUGCAGACCUAAGGUCACCCUUUCUGUAUUCUCUCCCUAAAGUUGAUUGUUCUGCCUGACAAAGAA